rnacentral:tRNA from 1 species
GCCCUCGUGGCUCAGUGGUAGAGCAGCGGUUUUGUAAACCGCAGGUCGUGGGUUCGAAUCCCACCGAGGGCU